CAGGGAGGAGGGGGUGCAGGGAGGUGGGCAGAGUCUGGGUUUGGGGUGGAAAACCUCUGUGAGGAUAGCAGGCCCACCUGCCUCAGGGCUCGUUGCCAGGACUAAACAGGAAAGUCUUUGGGGGCACUCUUUCCACUGUUCAAAGGAGGGUGGGCACCCAGUAGAAGUUAGGGCAAUUAAGGGAGCUGAAGCUAAGGUCUAAGAAAGGGGACAGCAGAAGCCGGCUGAGGAUGUGGCCCGGGGAACAUAAAGCAGAAACGGGAACAGCAUAUGCCGAGGGCUUGCUUUGGUAAGAGGCACCACUCAUUUAAGGGAUAGAGCAGUGGCCAGGGGUCGAGCGAAGGGCUGGCAGACACAGGCUCUGGAGAAGAGAGGAGGCCAGAUCCUGGAGGAAUCCUAAGCCACGAGCCUGCCUGGAUCCUCGGACUUGAGAGGCUGCUGCACGGCCGCCUGCAGCUCGCCCAGGCCAACCCAGGCCUCCAUCCUGGCGGGGCUCAGGACCAGCCAAGGCAGCUCACUUCCUCCCGCAAAGCCUCAUCAAUCCGGCUGCCGCAGCACAGUGUAAGGAAUGGAGAAGCUGCUCCUUCCUCCACGGAGGUGGCUGCAAACCUCGUCUCCCUGGAAACAGAAAUAAUCAUUGGAAGUCAGCUCAUGGCAACUCCGCUCACACGCGUGGGUGCCAUGAUUAUUAUACAAGCUGAUUUACACACUGUCCUUUAAAACCUAUACCCCAUAAAUGUGAAAGGAGGCUCACUAUCCCUACUUUUCUGGCAAGUCGUCAUGCAUGAGGAGAGGACUGAACGAGGAGGUUCAGCUGAUGCUCUAAAAUCUGCACUCCCUGCUAAAAAUACAGCGAAACCUGCUCCUUCUCCGCACAGCCACCGCCGUUCACGUCCGUCCCACACAAAUGUCCAGAGAGACGCACGAAAGGCCUUCACAUAUAUUCACUGGGCAGAUGGUUUCCGUGAAACGUGGGCGAGGGUCUCCUUGCGCGGGCUGCCUGGCGAAUGUGGGUGAGGCUUCCUCCAGACGCGAGGGCCCUCUGGGGGCUGGUGCCCCUGCUCACCGCGCACCGCUGGACACUGUGCAGGAAAGGGCCCGACGCUGUGAGCUCUGGGGGAGCCUGCACGGGCCAGAACUUGCCGAGCGGGCGGCAGGAACGGGUGUGCGUUCUCAAAGCACCCCUGCAUCUCCCCCGGCCCCUCCUCCCGCAUCGCGUUCCCUAGCUGCCGCGCCGCCCGCUUCCCCGGGAUCCAGCGCGAAGUUAUUUAACGCUGUAAUUAGCCGGCAGGGUGAGUCAUCGGUCCCAGGCCUCGCUGCAAAAGCGGCAGAGCCGGUGUGGAAAGAACCGAGGGCGCUCGGCGCGGUGGGACCUCAGAGGGCUUGCCGGAGACGCGCUCCCAGGCCUCGUUUCAGCAGGCUGGGUGCCCGAGAGGCCCGGGCAAGACCAUCUCCAUGCUCUGCCCGGCCCCACGCCUUCCUCUGCCACCGAGAGCGCCGCGUCGGUCGGAAGGAGGCGAUUUACCCUCCCCCGGGCCGCACCCCCAGUCU
ensembl:lincRNA